GGCUAAAAAGGACUGAGCCCGCUGAGGAGAAGCAGAUUAUAAAAAGAGAAAAAGAAUAUGCUACAAUUCAGCGCUCCAAAAGACUCAGUUUCGCAAAUGAAACCUAAAAAGGAGGCAUAAUUUGGUUAGAAUAAACAAAGUAAAACUCACACACACCCCUCAGAAAUAUUUAACCUGACUUCUAGGAUGAACUAAAUGGACAGCGUUGUGUUUCAUUGAUUGCCGUUGAGAAGCAAAGCUGGGAAAGUAACAGAAAUAUUUCUCUGAUAGGUUGUCCCUCAGUAAAUACAGCCCAUCUUAAAUUCUCAAUUACUGAGGGACAAUCUACACUCAUUGCUAUAUUUGCUUUCCACAACUAAUAUUACUAUAACCUUUUAUGAAUAAUGUACAGUACCUGAAUAUCAGAAUGCUAAUGCCUUAACUGUAUCACUGAAUUUAUUAACCUUAAUUUGGGAUAUUGAAGAUUAUGUACUAUAUGUAUUUUAUGACUUUAAACCAAACUUUGUAUUUUUGGAUAAUUUAAGCAUUAUACCCAGAUGUACAGACACUCUUUCCUUAACCUGUGUAUUAGAUAAUUUUAACAUUAGCUUUAAUAAUUUUUUUAAUCUGUUCUUUUUUAAGUGCCUCAAACAAUGAUUGGUCCGUAGUCAUUAUUGUAAUAAACAUGAAUAAUUAC